rnacentral:rRNA from 1 species
GACGAACGCUGGCGGCGUGCUUAACACAUGCAAGUCGAGCGGAAAGGCCUUUCGGGGUACUUGAGCGGCGAACGGGUGGGUAACACGUGAGUAAUCUGCCCUGUGCUCUGGGAUAGCCACCGGAAACGGUGAUUAAUACCGGAUAUGACCAGCCUACGCAUGUGGUGUUGGUGGAAAGUUUUUUCGGCGCAGGAUGUGCUCGCGGCCUAUCAGCUUGUUGGUGAGGUAAUGGCUCACCAAGGCUUUGACGGGUAGCCGGCCUGAGAGGGUGACCGGUCACACUGGGACUGAGACACGGCCCAGACUCCUACGGGAGGCAGCAGUGGGGAAUAUUGGACAAUGGGCGGAAGCCUGAUCCAGCAACGCCGCGUGAGGGAUGACGGCCUUCGGGUUGUAAACCUCUUUCAGUACCGACGAAGCGCAAGUGACGGUAGGUACAGAAGAAGGACCGGCCAACUACGUGCCAGCCGCCGCUGUAAGAC